AACGCAUAUUGCGCCCCUUGGUAUUCCGAAGGGCAUGCCUGUUCGAGCGUCAUGAUCAAACCUCAAGCCUUGCUUGGUAUCGGGUUUUCGUCUCCCCCUGUCUUUGUAUAGGUAGCGACGUGCCUGAAAGUCAAUGGCGGUGCCUCAAUAUACUCAAGCGAAGCAGACUGACCUCGCUUUGGAGAAUUUUUGUGGUUCUGUCAACAAAAUAAUCAAGUUCGACCUCGGAUCAGGUAGGGAUACCCGCUGAACUUAA
rnacentral:misc_RNA from 1 species